UACGGAGGAUGCAAGCGUUAUCCGGAAUUACUGGGCGUAAAGCGUGCGCAGGCGGUUGUGUAAGACAGGUGUGAAAUCCCCGGGCUUAACCUGGGAAUUGCAUUUGUGACUGCACGGCUAGAGUUUGGCAGAGGGGGGUAGAAUUCCACGUGUAGCAGUGAAAUGCGUAGAUAUGUGGAGGAAUACCGAUGGCGAAGGCAGCCCCCUGGGUCAAGACUGACGCUCAUGCACGAAAGCGUGGGGAGCAAACAGG
rnacentral:rRNA from 1 species